UUCCAAAGUGUUGAGUUCAGUUCCGGGCAUCCUCCCCAGUACUGGUAAUUAUUCUUUGGAACAGUAUCUGGCUGUGGGUCAUUGGUUUGGGUUGGUCCCUUCAUGACCAGCUCACUGAACCCAUAGCUAAUACAU
ensembl:snoRNA